UACAGAGGGUGCAAGCGUUGUUCGGAAUUACUGGGCGUAAAGCGCGUGUAGGCGGUUUGAUAAGUCAGACGUGAAAUCCCUCAGCUUAACUGAGGAAUUGCAUCUGAUACUGUCAGACUUGAGUAUCGGAGGGGAUGGUGGAAUUCCUGGUGUAGAGGUGAAAUUCGUAGAUAUUCGCAAGAACACCAGUGGCGAAGGCGGCUCACUGGCCCGGUACUGACGCUGAGGUGCGAAAGCGUGGGGAGCAAACAGGG
rnacentral:rRNA from 1 species